AUGUACCUCGUUGACCGGAAGGAAACCCUUCCGAUCAGCGAGGUACAUCUACCUCGUUGACCGGAAGAGUUUCCUUCCGGUCAACGAGGGUACAU
rnacentral:miRNA from 1 species